rnacentral:lncRNA from 1 species
GCCAUCGGAUCAUCAGUGGAAUCCUCUAUAGAGCCGAGUAAGAUAGUAGAUGCUGAAUCAAAAUAAGAAACAAACGAACAAGAAGAUUCGCCCAUGGAUCCAAAUCUCUUAUGCCAUCAGAUUGUCAACGGAAUCCAACAUGCAGUCGAGGAAGAUAGUGGGAGCUCAAAACAAAACAAAAAAUGAAGAAAACUAGAAGUUUUGCCAAUAGAUAUGCAAUUCUUAUGUCACC